GACGAACGCUGGUGGCGUGCCUAAUACAUGCAAGUAGGACGCAGUUGCGAACGGGUGAGUAACGCGUAGGUAACUGCCUCUUAGAGGGGGAUAACUAUUGGAAACGAUAGCUAAUACCGCAUACUAGUAGAUGGACCUGCGUUGUAUUAGCUCGUAGGUGGGGUAAUGGCCUACCUAGGCGACGAUCCAUAGCCGACCCGAGAUGGUGAUGCGCCAGAAUGGGACUUAGACACGGCCCAGACUCCUACGGGAGGCAGCAGGAGGGAAUCUUCGGCAAUGGGGGGAACCCUGACCGAGCAACGCCGCGGGAGUGAAGAAGGUUUUCGGAUCGUAAAGCUCUGUUGUUAAGGAAGCGGUACUUAACCAGAAAGGGACGGCUAACUACGUGCCAGCAGCCGCGGUAAUUC
rnacentral:rRNA from 1 species